CGGUGCCUUCGGCGAUCGGCGCGGCGACGCCUUCGGGCGGCGUGCCGGCGGCCAUGCCGACGCCGGUCGCCGCGAUCUCGCGCGGGGCCGCGCC
rnacentral:tRNA from 1 species